rfam:Firmicutes bacterium M10-2 genomic scaffold acPFH-supercont1.4, whole genome shotgun sequence.
GCGCUCGUAGCUCAGUUGGAUAGAGUAUCAGAUUCCGAUUCUGAGGGUCGUAGGUUCGAGCCCUAUCGAGCGCG